UACGUAGGGGGGCAAGCGUUGUCCGGAUUUAUUGGGCGUAAAGAGCGUGUAGGCGGUCUGGUAGGUCCGUUGUGAAAACUCGAGGCUCAACCUCGAGACGCCGAUGGAAACCAUCAGACUAGAGUCCGGAAGAGGAGAGUGGAAUUCCUGGUGUAGCGGUGAAAUGCGCAGAUAUCAGGGAAGAACACCCCGUGGCUAAGCGGCUCUCUAGUAGCGGUACUGACGCUGAGACGCGAAAAGCUGGGGAGCGACAG
rnacentral:rRNA from 1 species